rnacentral:rRNA from 1 species
UACGAAGGGGGCUAGCGUUGUUCGGAUUUACUGGGCGUAAAGCGCACGUAGGCGGACUAUUAAGUCAGGGGUGAAAUCCUGGAGCUCAACUCCAGAACUGCCUUUGAUACUGGGAGUCUUGAGUUCGGGAGAGGUGAGUGGAACUGCGAGUGUAGAGGUGAAAUUCGUAGAUAUUCGCAAGAACACCAGUGGCGAAGGCGGCUCUCUGGGACGGUACUGACGCUGAGACGCGAAAGCGUGGGGAGCGAACAGG